UGGCAGUCCUUUGUUUCACACAGAAUACUUGUGCGACCUUCAGAUGAUAGUGAAUAUCCAAAGCAGCACAUCUAUUUAUCAGAAUGGCUGUUGCCGUCCUUGAAGUUACCAGACAAAUUUACAAUCAAUGAUGAUGGCACAUACAUUGUAUUAUGAAAUUCACAUGAUUUCAGACCGGCCUUUUGACACACUGAUUCAUGAUUGCUCCCUCAACCGAGGUCAAGCAUUUAAA
rnacentral:misc_RNA from 1 species